rnacentral:rRNA from 1 species
AUACGUAGGGUGCGAGCGUUGUCCGGAAUUACUGGGCGUAAAGAGCUCGUAGGUGGUUUGUCGCGUCGUCUGUGAAAUUCCGGGGCUUAACUCCGGGCGUGCAGGCGAUACGGGCAUAACUUGAGUACUGUAGGGGAGACUGGAAUUCCUGGUGUAGCGGUGAAAUGCGCAGAUAUCAGGAGGAACACCGGGGGCGAAGGCGUGUCUCUGGGCAGUAACUGACGCUGAGGAGCGAAAGCAUGGGUUGCGAACAGGAUUAGAUACCCGGGUAGUCCAUGCCGUAAACGGUGGGCGCUAGGUGUAGGGGUCUUCCACGACUUCUGUGCCGUAGCUAACGCAUUAAGCGCCCCGCCUGGGGAGUACGGCCGCAAGGCUAAAACUCAAAUGAAUUGACGGGG